rnacentral:rRNA from 1 species
UACAGAGGGGGCAAGCGUUGUUCGGAAUUACUGGGCGUAAAGGGCGCGUAGGCGGCCUUCUAAGUCGAACGUGAAAUCCCCGGGCUCAACCCGGGAACUGCGUCCGAUACUGGAAGGCUUGAAUCCGGGAGAGGGAUGCGGAAUUCCAGGUGUAGCGGUGAAAUGCGUAGAUAUCUGGAGGAACACCGGUGGCGAAGGCGGCACCCUGGACCGGCAUUGACGCUGAGGCGCGAAAGCCAGGGGAGCAAACGGG